UUCGGCGAGCUAGUUCUUCGGUCUGGCUGGGAUGCAUUUGUUACUGCACACCAUGUAGAAGAAAAUGACACAUUCUUGUUCAUCUACCAUGGGAACUCCAACUUUGAGAUUCAUAUAUUUAAUUCACGCGGUUGCGAGAAGAUGGCUUCCUGCUUUCAACCACCUUCAGAGAUCUUUGGAGCCUUUCCUCCCAGUGAGCCUUGUGAUCAUCAUGUGCUGAAUGAACAAGCUGCACCUAAUCCAAGACAUGUUCAGACGCAAGUUGAGUUUGACUAUACCAUGUCAACUGGAUGCCAUCUAACCAAAUCACAAGAUGAGAAAGUUGUAGAAAUAGCCCGCAAAAUAAGGUCUGAGAUUCCUUUGUAUGUGGCAAUCAUGAAUAAACUUAAUGUCAACGUGAAGGACUGCUCUAUCAACAUACCAUUGAGGCUCGUGAGCCAUUUAAAAGAGGAGGUAGGUAGUGCUAUUAUCAAACUAGAAGCACCUGAUGGUAACAUAUACAAUGUUCGAGCUAGAAAGCACAGCGAGGAUCAAGUUGUCCUCCAGUCUGACUGGGAUGCUUUUGUAGCUGCUAAUCACAUACAGUUGAACGACCUCCUCAUUUUCCAUAGCAAGGGAAAAACUCGUCUCAAAGUUCUCGCACUGGACCCAAGUGGCUGUGAAAAAAACUCAUCAUGCUUUUACACAAAAUUCGCCAAGACUGGUGAAGGUUCAGUUCAUAUUACUGAUGCACACCCUUGUACAGUUGAAAUUAUUGAUCUGACCAGCUCUGACGAUGAUCACACUGAGAGAGAAGAUGUUGGAAGAUCAUUUUGGAGGCAGAAGCAGGUGCCAGGUUUUCAUGCAAAAGCUCGGAAGAUGGCUUCAGCGUCAUCCCCAUCUACAGAAUCAGGAUCUGAUACUCACAAGCUGAAACGUCCCAUCUCCAACAAUGCCAAUCUUCAGGGGCCUUCUAGGCCUCCCUAUAUUUUAGCCAGAGGGAUAACUCUAACCGGCCGUGUGGAGAAGAAAGUUUAG
rnacentral:rRNA from 1 species